CAGAGUUCUCGCCCCUCGCGGGUAGAUCUCCCACCCACUGUUAUCGCUACCGUCGUUUCUUUGGCGGGCCGCUGGGCCCUGCCCGGCCGCCGGCUCCGGCUGGCGCGCGCCCGCCAGAGACCCCCCAAACUCUGAAUGUUAGUGUCGUCUGAGUACUAUACAAUAGUUA
rnacentral:misc_RNA from 1 species